rnacentral:lncRNA from 1 species
GUAAAUCGGUGACUGUCCGAUAUUGCAAUUGAGAGUGAUCCGACUGCUCGAUCGAGACCAAACUUGCAGAACGUGUUAGUGGACUUGGCUAAACUUGUGGAAACUUUCGGAUCGAAAAUUGGAGGUCGUGGGCCCCGCGGGCCCAGUUGACCAAUAUGGGAAGUUUGACUCCUUGGUUGACCGUGAGUCUUCUGAUGUAGUUUCACCCUUCGAGAAGUACUAGAAUGACCUUAUAAACGAAUCUUGACUGUUAUUUGAGUCAUUUUGAUUAUGUUGGGAUUAUGAGAUUAUUU